UACGUAGGUGACCAGCGUUGUCCGGAUUUACUGGGCGUAAAGAGCGCGCAGGCGGUCGUUCAAGUCGAGUGUGAAAGCCCCCGGCUCAACUGGGGAGGGUCACUCGAUACUGAUCGACUUGAAGGCAGGAGAGGGAAGCGGAAUUCCCGGUGUAGUGGUGAAAUGCGUAGAUAUCGGGAGGAACACCCAGGGGGAAACCAGUCGACUGGGCAUCUACUGACGCUGAGGUGCGAGAGCGUGGGGAGCGAACCGG
rnacentral:rRNA from 1 species